UACGCGGGGUGCAAGCGUUAAUCGGAAUUACUGGGCGUAAAGCGUGCGCAAGCGGUUCGGGAAGAAAGAUGUGAAAUCCCAGAGCUUAACUAUGGAACUGCAUUUUUAACUACCGAGCUAGAGUGUGCCAGAGGGAGGUGGAAUUCCGCGUGUAGCAGCGAAAUGCGUAGAUAUGCGGAGGAACACCGAUGGCGAAGGCAGCCUCCUGGGAUAACACUGACGCUCAUGCACGAAAGCGUGGGGAGCAAACAGG
rnacentral:rRNA from 1 species